GCGGAAGUGGUGGAAUUGGCAGACACGCUGCGCUUAGGACGCAGUGCCUCCGGGCUUGCGGGUUCGAGUCCCGCCUUCCGCA
rnacentral:tRNA from 1 species